rnacentral:tRNA from 1 species
GUCGAGAUAGCUCAGCUGGUAGAGCAGAGGACUGAAAAUCC